rnacentral:rRNA from 1 species
UACGUAGGGGGCAAGUGUUAUCCGGAAUCACUGGGCGUAAAGCGUCUGCAGGUGGUUUCCUAAGUCCACUGUUAAACCUUGAGGCUCAACCUCAAAUCUGCAUUGGAAACUAGGAGACUUGAGUAUAGUAGGGGUAGAGGGAAUUUCCAGUGGAGCGGUGAAAUGCGUAGAUAUUGGAAAGAACACCGAUGGCGAAGGCACUCUACUGGGCUAUUACUGACACUCAGAGACGAAAGCUAGGGGAGCAAAUGGG